rnacentral:rRNA from 1 species
GACCUCGCGAGAGCAAGCGGACCUCAUAAAGUAUGUUGUAGUCCGGAUUGGAGUCUGCAACUUGACUCCAUGAAGUCGGAAUCGCUAGUAAUCGUAGAUCAGAAUGCUACGGUGAAUACGUUCCCGGGCCUUGUACACACCGCCCGUCACACCAUGGGAGUGGGUUGCAAAAGAAGUAGGUAGCUUAACCUUCGGGAGGGCGCUUACCA